rnacentral:rRNA from 1 species
AUAGCGAACAAGUACCGUGAGGGAAAGUUGAAAAGCACUCUGGAGAGAGAGUCAAAAGACCGUGAAACCGCUCAGAGUAUAAGCCCAUGGCAGCUUGGAAGGCAUAUCGCUAGCGGGGCAUCGGUCUCCCUUCACGGGGAGCUGGUGUUACCUUGCUUCUGUUGUGGCUCGUUAUGGUAGGGGGGUCGAGUCCACAUCCCGCCGGCGUGUGGGGAGUUCUUGGGCGCGUUGUGGCUUUGCGGUUGACCUCGGUUGGCCGUGGGGCUCUUCGUGCUUGGUUCUUCUUUAGACACGGACGUUCAGACUCAGUUGCAAGACGCGAUAACCAGCCCACCACGGCACGUUGUGAGGUCACCCACAGGCUCGACUUUCGAUUGUGGUCCUUGACGCCGAGCAAGCACUGUGCGUGUCGCAGAUGUUCCUAACCGGGCAAAACUCGUUUGUCAGGAUCGUGGAACGACACGCGCUCAACAGUCAGGACCGGGCGAUGACAGAGUUCUGGUACGAUCCUCAUGCGACGAGCCGCCUCUGGCCGAUUUUCCGAUGCUCAGGUCUCCCGCAUGUGCCGCGGGAGAUCGCUUUGACGGUCUGGAGUUUCCACAAGUCCUCUCAGUCGGGCAACGGAAAGAGUGGUGUAAAGUCCAAGCCCAUCGGUCACGUCUCGAAACACGGGCCAAGGAGUAUAGCAUGUGUGCAAGUCUAAGGGUCUCACAAAACCUGAAGGCGAAGUGAAAGCAAGUAAGCGGCGGGUGAUCUA